AAAGCCCCCUGCUGUUCAUGGGGUUUGCCCCAAAUGUGGUCCGGGUGCUACUCUGGGGCUUCCUGCUUCGUGGAGGUGGUAUAGAAAGCAACGUAUGUAGCAACUAUCGCUAAGAUAUUUAGUAGUACAAAGACAGUAAAACCAUUCUUCCUUUUGCUUUUCAGUCGAGUGACUCAGCUUAGAUAUGGAGCAUCCUUUCCUUCUGAUGGUUAAAACAGUAACAAACCAGACGUAGCACUUUGCACCUGUGCAUGCCAAGGCAUUCUUAGUGGAUUUCAAGUGCUUUCUGCGCAAGGUGAAGCAGGCGUUCAGAGGAAGCCGCCCAAAUAUUUACAUUCCAGACAAAAAAUAAAGUCUUUGUAGUCAUUAAAUGUGCUCAUUUAGCAUUUACUGACUGUGGUCCAGCAAACUCAUUUCCCCAAAGUCAAUGCCAACGGUGUAGGAUGUGAAGGCAUUCUUAGUAUCCCUUUGCAUCGUCUGGGCUCAGGAUGAGCCCAUUGAGAGCAGAAGGUGCACUGAGCACUGUUCAGUGGCCGGGAACGUGCUUUGGCCUAAUGAAAUACAAAAAUAGGUCUAAGUGAUGAGUUGGGAGGUGUUAAUAUGCUUCCUUAUUAAGGUUCAAAAUGAUUCGUAAACUUAGUUGCAAGUUUCUGGAAUAGCUCUGUGAAAACAGAAUGCCAUAUUUGUAUGUGACCUGCUGAGAAAGCUGCAGCCAACGCCUGUCUUAAUGCUCUGUUCAGCUCUCCUCUUUGCAGAGCUCUCUAGCAGUGUAACUGAUGGUUUUCCAGUCUGCUGGGAAUUUCAUUGGCUGUGCAUGGAAUUUCCUAUGAUUACUUUUUUUUUUCCCCAAGCUUUGUCCUUCUGAGCUCUUAGGCUCAGUCCUGAACGGGUAUUUGUCACUGCAGUCACGGUAAGAACUUGUCAGACUGGAUUUCUGCAGCAAUGUGAAGGGGGGUAAUCCAAAGUGUUCCCUGGGUCUGAGGGUGAAUACAUUUGGAAUGUAUAUGACUUACGGUGAGAUAUUGCUAAGGUAGUUCUAGUCAUAGAGCAGGAAAGCUUGUUUACAGAGAAAAACAAGCUUUAAUUGUCUUCAGCCGUGAGAAUCUGGUAUUACUCACCGGCUAAUGUAUUUCUUCUCUGUCACCUACUGAAGGUGUGAUCUGUCCCAUGAAACCGCUGCACAUCCUUAUGCUGAUGUCCUCAGAGAACCCUUGGACUCAGAGCACUCAUUUUCUGUCUUCAGUUUAGACUGAAUUUGUCAGAAUGCUGUUGGAGCGUACUGAGUGGUAACAAAACUCCAGGAAAGAAGGCAGUUCGGAAAUCAAAGUGUAAAUGGACAGCAGAAAACUGCCCCUAUCUGAGCAACAACUCAGGUUCUCAACGGAACUUGGGAAUAAGGAGAUGUGUGGGAGGUGCAGUGAUGGGAGGAGCUGUGGCUCCUGGCAGGAGUGUUACCAUACAGGCAGGGAUGGGGGCUGACUUCCAUGCUGGUGUCAGUGAGGAUGGCCGGGCUGUGUCCUGCUGCUGAGCCGCUGUGCUGAGGGCGAGGAGUGGCAGAAAGACCUCGGACAGGGUGAGCAGCCCACAUCCUUGCUCCCAAGUGGAAGUUGUGUAUGCGAACACCCUACAGCUGGGAAAACCCUUGGGAACAGGUGAGUGCUUGGGACCUGAUGUGACAAACCUCAGUAUGGGGUUUGGAGCAAUUCAGGGCUGGUUCCAGUCCCAUUGGCUGUCAGUGGGCUGCAGCAGCUGUGUCUGUGUGGGUCCAUGCCAUUCCACUGUGGAGGAGUAGCUGUG
ensembl:lncRNA